AGCAGCCGCGGUAAUUCCAGCUCCAAUAGCGUAUAUUAAAGUUGUUGCAGUUAAAAAGCUCGUAGUUGAAUUUCGGGAUCAAUAUGUUGGUCGUGCCUCGGUACGUACUAGCUUAUUGGUUUCUCCUUUCUGAAGAACCAUGAUGUCAUUUAUUUGGUGUCGUGGGGAAUCAGGACUGUUACUUUGAAAAAUUAGAGUGUUUAAAGCAGGCUCACGCUUGAAUACAUUAGCAUGGAAUAAUGAAAUAGGACGUUUGAUUCUAUUUUGUUGGUUUCUAGGAUCGACGUAAUGAUUAAUAGGGAUAGUUGGGGGCAUUAGUAUUCAAUUGUCAGAGGUGAAAUUCUUGGAUUUAUUGAAGACUAACUACUGCGAAAGCAUUUGCCAAGGAUGUUUUCAUUAAUCAAGAACGAAAGUUAGGGGAUCGAAGACGAUCAGAUACCGUCGUAGUCUUAACCAUAAACUAUGCCGACUA
rnacentral:rRNA from 1 species